rnacentral:rRNA from 1 species
UACGUAGGGUGCGAGCGUUAAUCGGAAUUACUGGGCGUAAAGCGUGCGCAGGCGGUUCGUUGUGUCGGCGGUGAAAGCCCCGGGCUUAACCUGGGAAUGGCAUUGGUGACUGCACGGCUAGAGUGUGUCAGAGGGGGGUAGAAUUCCACGUGUAGCAGUGAAAUGCGUAGAGAUGUGGAGGAAUACCGAUGGCGAAGGCAGCCCCCUGGGAUAACACUGACGCUCAUGCACGAAAGCGUGGGGAGCAAACAGG